rnacentral:other from 1 species
AUCACCCUGCUUGGUGCGUGAUGUGCCCUUUUAGACCCACAACAUUUAUAAGGGACGCCGGAAUCUUCCUUGGUGGAUUGUAGACCUCCCGCGUGGCUUGCCCGCGGAAGCUGGGAACAGAGAAGCCCUGGAGCGGCGACCCACCUGCCAGGAUCGUGCAGGUUAUAAAUGGGCACACACGGCUUAAGCGGGGUUUUU